rnacentral:misc_RNA from 1 species
GAUGAAGAACGCAGCGAAAUGCGAUAAGUAAUGCGAAUUGCAGAAUCCGUGAGUCAUCGAAUCUUUGAACGCACAUUGCGCCCUUUGGUAUUCCGAAGGGCAUGCCUGUUCGAGCGUCAUUAUCACCCCUCAAGCUCCGGCUUGGUGUUGGGCUACACGGUAGCUAUACCGCGGGCCUCAAAGAUAGUGACGGCGUCCCAGAUGGAACCGGUACGAGGAGCUUUUAACCAAGCAUGUACGCGGCGUGAAUCUGUGGGCGGCGGUCUUUAACCUCUACUCUUCGGAGUACUUUUAAGUGUUGACCUCGGAUCAGGUAGGGAUACCCGCUGAACUUAAGCAUAUCAAUAAGCGGAGGA